UACGUAGGCAGCAAGCGUUGUUCGGAAUUACUGGGCGUAAAGAGUGUGUAGGCGGUGUUCUAAGUUUGGUGUGAAAUCUCCCGGCUCAACUGGGAGGGUGCGCCGAAAACUGGAAUGCUAGAGUAUGGGAGAGGUAAGCGGAAUUCCUGGUGUAGCGGUGAAAUGCGUAGAUAUCAGGAAGAACACCGGUGGCGAAGGCGGCUUGCUGGGCCAUCACUGACGCUGAGACACGAAAGCGUGGGGAGCAAACGGG
rnacentral:rRNA from 1 species